rnacentral:tRNA from 1 species
ACCAGUUUGGCUCAGUGGAGAGAGCAUCAGCCUGUGGACUGAAGGGUCACGGGUUCGAUUCCUGUGGAGGGCA